AUUGAACGCUGGCGGCAUGCCUUACACAUGCAAGUCGAACGGCAGCACGGGUGCUUGCACCUGGUGGCGAGUGGCGAACGGGUGAGUAAUACAUCGGAACGUACCUUAUCGUGGGGGAUAACGCAGCGAAAGCUGUGCUAAUACCGCAUACGCCCUGAGGGGGAAAGCGGGGGAUCGAAAGACCUCGCGCGAUUAGAGCGGCCGAUGCCUGAUUAGCUUGUUGGUGGGGUAAAGCCCACCAAGGCGACGAUCAGUAGCUGGUCUGAGAGGACGAUCAGCCACACUGGGACUGAGACACGGCCCAGACUCCUACGGGAGGCAGCAGUGGGGAAUUUUGGGACAAUGGGGGAAACCCUGAUCCAGCAAUGCCGCGUGAGUGAAGAAGGCCUGGUGU
rnacentral:rRNA from 1 species